GCCGAAGUGAUGGAAUGGCAGACGUGACGGACUCAAAAUCCGUUGAUAGCAAUAUCGUGUCGGUUCAAGUCCCACCUUCGGCACCA
rnacentral:tRNA from 1 species